rnacentral:sRNA from 1 species
CGACGUAUCCGUCGGGUGUCCACGACAUGACGUCCCAUUUGAUGGUGAUGUUGCCGUUGGGGUCGAGCGGAUCAUAAGC